AGAGUUUGAUCAUGGCUCAGAAUCAACGCUGGCGGCGUGCCUAACACAUGCAAGUCGAACGAGAAAGUGGAGCAAUCCAUGAGUAAAGUGGCGACCGGGUGAGUAACACGUGACUAACCUACCCUGAAGUGGGGAAUAACUCCGGGAAACCGGGGCUAAUACCGCAUGAUAUCGCGAGGGGAAGAUCCUUGUGAUCAAAGGAGCAAUUCGCUUUAGGAGGGGGUCGCGGCUGAUUAGCUAGUUGGUAGGGUAACGGCCUACCAAGGCGAAGAUCAGUAUCCGGCCUGAGAGGGCGCACGGACACACUGGAACUGAAACACGGUCCAGACUCCUACGGGAGGCAGCAGUGGGGAAUUUUGCGCAAUGGGGGAAACCCUGACGCAGCAACGCCGCGUGGAGGAUGAAGUCCCUUGGGAUGUAAACUCCUUUCGAUCGGGACGAUAAUGACGGUACCGGAAGAAGAAGCACCGGCUAACUCUGUGCCAGCAGCCGCGGUAAUACAGAGGGUGCAAGCGUUGUUCGGAAUUAUUGGGCGUAAAGGGCGCGUAGGCGGUGCGGUAAGUCUGUAGUGAAAUCUCUGGGCUCAACUCAGAGUCUGCUAUAGAAACUGCCGUGCUUGAGUGUGGGAGAGGUGAGUGGAAUUCCCGGUGUAGCAGUGAAAUGCGUAGAGAUCGGGAGGAACACCAGUGGCGAAGGCGGCUACCUGGACCAGCACUGACACUGAGGCACGAAAGCGUGGGGAGCAAACAGGAUUAGAUACCCUAGUAGUCC
rnacentral:rRNA from 1 species